GCCAGACUCCUACGGGAGGCAGCAGUGGGGAAUAUUGGGCAAUGGGCGCAAGCCUGACCCAGCAACGCCGCGUGAAGGAAGAAGGCUUUCGGGUUGUAAACUUCUUUUCUCAGGGACGAAGCAAGUGACGGUACCUGAGGAAUAAGCCACGGCUAACUACGUGCCAGCAGCCGCGGUAAUACGUAGGUGGCAAGCGUUAUCCGGAUUUAUUGGGUGUAAAGGGCGUGUAGGCGGGAAAGCAAGUCAGAUGUGAAAACCAUGGGCUCAACCUGUGGCCUGCAUUUGAAACUGUUUUUCUUGAGUACUGGAGAGGCAGACGGAAUUCCUAGUGUAGCGGUGAAAUGCGUAGAUAUUAGGAGGAACACCAGUGGCGAAGGCGGCCUGCUGGACGACAACUGACGGUGAGGCGCGAAAGCGUGGGGAGCAAACAGGAUUAGAUACCCCGGUA
rnacentral:rRNA from 1 species